rnacentral:ncRNA from 1 species
GUUCAAACGAGGAAGGGCUUAUGGUGGAUACCUAGGCACCCAGAGACGAGGAAGGGUGUGGUAAGAGACGACAUGCUUUGGGGAGUUGAAACUGAGCAUAGAUGUGGAGAUUCUCGAAUAGGGUAACCUUUUUAACUGCUUCUUAAUCCAUGGGUAGGCAAGAGACAACCUGGAAAACUGAAACAUCUUAGUAGCUAGAGGAAUAGAAAGAAAAAGUGAUUCCUGUAGUAGCAGCGAGAGAAAUGGGAGCAGCCUAAACCUUGAAAAUGGGGUUUUGGAAGAGAACAAUAUAAGCUUUGUGAUGCUAGGCGAAGCGAUUGAGUCCUGCACCCUAUAUGGUGAGAGUUAAGUAGCCAAAAGAAUCAUUGAGUUAUGCUCUAAUCUGAGUAGCAUGGGGCAUGCAGAAUCCCAUGUGAAUCAACAAGGACCACAUUGCAAGGCUAAAUACUCCUGCGUGAUCGAUAGCGAAGUAGUACCGUGAGGGGAAGGUGAAAAGAACCCCCAUUGGGGAGUGAAAUAGAACAUGAAACCGUAAGCUCCCAAGUAGUGGAAGGAAAAUGAUAUCUCUGGCCAUGUGCAUGUUGAAGAAUGAGCCGACAACUAAUAGGCAGUGGCUUGGUUAAGGGAAUCCAGUGGAUCCGUAGUGAGAGCGAGUCUUCAUGGGGCAAUUGUCACUGCUUAUGGACCCAAACCUAGGUGAUCUAUCCAUGACCAGGAUGAAUCUUUGGUGAAACUAAGUGGAGGUCCGACCCGACUGAUGUUGAAAAAUCAAUGGAUGAGUCGUGGUUAGGGGUGAAAUGCCACUCGAACCCAGAGCUAGUUGGAUCUCCCAAAAAUGCAUUGAGGCGCAACAGUUGACUGGACCAUCUAGAGGUAAAUCAUUGUUUUGGUACUGGCCAUGAGAGAAGUACCAAAUCAAGGAAAACUUUGAAUACUAGAUUGCCCCAAUAAAAGGGGUAAAGGUUAGCCAGUGAGACGAUGGGGGAUAAGGUUCAUCAUUGAGAGGGAAACAACCAGAUCAUCAGCUAAGGCCCCUAAAUGACCAGUCAAUGAUGAAGGAAGUACGAGUGCAAAGACAACGAGGAGAUUUUCCUAGAAGCAACCAACCUUGAAAGAGUGCGUAAUAGAUCAUUUAUCAAGUGCUCUUGGGACAAAUAUGAAUGGGACUAAGCGAUCUAUCGAAGUUGUGGGAUGUAAAAAUACAUCAGUAGGGGAGCGUUCCGCCUCAGAGGGAAGCAUCGGUGCAAGCAGGUGUGGACGAAGUGGAAGCGAGAAUGUCAACUUGAGUAACACCAACAUUGGUGAGAAUCCAAUGCCCCGAAAACCUAAGGUUUCCUCUGCAAGGUUCAUCCACGAAGGGUGAGUCAGGGCUUAAGAUCCGGUCAAAAGGCAUAGUCAAUGGAUAACAGGUAAAUAUUCCUGUACUACCCCUUGUUGGUCCCGAGGGAAGAAGAAGGGCAGGUUAUCCGAAAUAUGGUUAUUGGUUCAAGGACGCAAGGUGACCCUCUAUACAUUGAUUCAAAGGUAAAACAAGAAUCAAAUAUAGGUGUGUACAAGGUGAGGUUGGGGGUGGAUAUUCCUCAUCAUCUACUCUAGCACACAAAAAUCUAAGAUGGCUUAUCCAAACAUUAUAGGAUGCACAAAAUCAUGUAGGAGUGCCCAUAUCAUCAAUGAGGGUGAGUAUACCUCCUAGGAGAUAUGUUAACCAUAUUGUAUUAGAUUCUUCCAUUUGUGAUAUUUACAAUUGUUUUUAGGAGGUGAUGUGUGAUACUUUGUUGGAUGAGUGUGAUGUUUAGGGGGUAGUUCCUUUCUAGGAGCCAGUGGUUGAUUUCGAGAUUGCAACGUGUUCAAAUUUGCAGAAGGAAAAUUUGUUUGAGUUGCAAAGGGAGAAAAAUGAUGUUGGUGAAAACACUUUCCUCAUAAAGAGUGUGUGUUUUCUUUCGAGGUUACUCUGAAAUUGUUUGAUUGAGUUGCAAAGGAAGAUAAAUAUGUUGGUGAAAACACUUUCCUCAUAAAGAGGGAGUGUUUUCUUUUGAGGUUACUCCAAAAUUAAGUUACACCAUACUUAAGGGUGCUUCAUGUGAUGUGGG